AGAAAUGGGCUUUCAUGAAAUGGAUUAUUUGAAAAAUAUUAGCUAAUGAUCGUUUGAUCAGUGUGCAUUAAACCAUGCUUUUUUUUUUUUUUUUUUUUUUUGCAAGUGGGGUUUCAAAUUGGGAACCUAUAGAUUUUGAGCAUGUCUUUUUACCAGACACCAAGAAGCCCAAAUUGCCUUUGGGUGCGCCUGAAGAGAUACCACCUAUUUACACUUAUUUCGCUAAAAAGAAGCAUCACCAAUACCAAACCCCAUGUUCCAAUCUGAAAUUGAACUGAAGAACCAGGAAGACUCUGAGGUUGUCGCUGGUUGUAAAUGAGUAAAAAAGAUGUAAAGGACAGGGUGAGGAGAGAUUUGUUGCCAGUUAUGGAGGAGACAGACUCAAGGGCUGAGAUAAUUAAGCCAGGACCAUACAGGAUCACAGUCCAGGGAGCAUAGACAGCUGAUAUGGAGAGAGAGACGCCAGCAGCCUGACUGCUGUGGGUGCUGGCUGUGGUGAUUCAGAAGCAAACCAGGGAAGGUGAUUUAUUAAACUGAAUUUGUGCGCCUGAGGAAAGCUGAAGGAUGGUGAUUAUAAAAAAAGCAAUGGGGAUUCCUUUUUGUUGGUUGAAAUGAUUUUCUAAGAAAGACGAAGAGAUGCCUCCAAAAUACUCUUCCUCCUUUUCUGUCUGCUCACAGCCUCAACACCAUCUGAAGGACAAGGGACUUAACAUUGAGGGAGGGGUCCUGGCUGAAAGGCAUCUAGC